GCCAGCAUAGCAUAGUGGUUUGAGUGUUGGACUAUGGCUCUGGAGACCCAGGUUCUAUUCCCAGUAUGGCCA